ACACAUGCAGUCGAGCGGAUGACAGGAGCUUGCUCCUGAAUUCAGAGGCGGACGGGUGAGUAAUGCCUAGGAAUCUGCCUGGUAGUGGGGGACAACGUUUCGAAAGGAACGCUAAUACCGCAUACGUCCUACGGGAGAAAGCAGGGGACCUUCGGGCCUUGCGCUAUCAGAUGAGCCUAGGUCGGAUUAGCUAGUUGGUGAGGUAAUGGCUCACCAAGGCGACGAUCCGUAACUGGUCUGAGAGGAUGAUCAGUCACACUGGAACUGAGACACGGUCCAGACUCCUACGGGAGGCAGCAGUGGGGAAUAUUGGACAAUGGGCGAAAGCCUGAUCCAGCCAUGCCGCGUGUGUGAAGAAGGUCUUCGGAUUGUAAAGCACUUUAAGUUGGGAGGAAGGGCAUUAACCUAAUACGUUAGUGUUUUGACGUUACCGACCGAAUAAGCACCGGCUAACUCUGUGCCAGCAGCCGCGGUAAUACAGAGGGUGCAAGCGUUAAUCGGAAUUACUGGGCGUAAAGCGCGCGUAGGUGGUUUGUUAAGUUGGAUGUGAAAUCCCCGGGCUCAACCUGGGAACUGCAUUCAAAACUGACAAGCUAGAGUAUGGUAGAGGGUGGUGGAAUUUCCUGUGUAGCGGUGAAAUGCGUAGAUAUAGGAAGGAACACCAGUGGCGA
rnacentral:rRNA from 1 species